CAUUUUGUAUACCUCCUUCACACACACACACACACACACACACACUACUUGGCUUCAAGGGUUUCGACCUGUAAAUUCUCUUUCUCCGAUCUGCAAAUCCAAUUCAAUUCCUACAAUCCAUUUCUACUCAUACAAUCUCAUCUCAGAUUCAGAAAAUCCAUAACGAUCUAGAAGAAAUUCUCAAUUCAAAAAAUCGCUUUUCACAUUCUUCAAAAAUCAAAAUCGAUACUUUAUAUUCAGCCAAAGCUGUGGUGAUGUAAGAGCUGCUAUUUUAAGAGCUCGUUUUGGUUCAUUUUUAGGGUUUGUUUGAAUGAUAAAGAAAGUUCUAGAAGAUCUAAGGAUUUGGAUUUGGAUUGAUUUCAUUGCUUAGUUAGAAAGUCACAAUGGAUGUGGAUUUAGUUGUUGAUAUAGCGAGCCUCGAUGCCGAAUUAUUGCAGCUUCCUGAAUUUUCACCUUUGGCUAUCAAAGAUAAUCCUUAUGCUCAGAGGCUUUUUGAUCAAUGGCUUUCGCUCCCCAUCACUACUUCUAAGGUGAAAUCUUUGCUUGAUAAUGCUAAGGGUGGUGGUCCCUUGAAUGUGACUGGAACUUCCUCUAGCACAAAUGUUGCUGCAAGCAGUUCUUUGCCGUCUAUGUUUCCCGCUGGAAGUACCCCUCCACUUUCCCCGAGAAGCUCAUCUGGUUCACCGCGAACAACAAGACAUAGGGCAGGCCCCUCUAUAUUAGGUUCUCCUCUGAAAUUAGUGAACGAGCCUGUUAAAGAGCAAAUACCACAGCAGUUUUAUUUUCAAAAUGGCCGUCCACCUCCGAAUGAAUUGAAGGAACGCUGCUUGUUUAGAAUAAACCAAUUUUUCUAUGGUCACAUGGAUGGACUACAAAUGCAUGAAAUUAAACCAAUUACUAAGGAAAUAUGCAAGUUGCCGUCGUUCUUCUCAAGGGCUCUUUUUAGGAAGAUUGAUGUUGAUGGAACGGGCAUCAUAACAAGGGAUGCCUUUGUUGAUUAUUGGGUCAACGGAAACAUGUUGACAAAAGAUAUAGCAACCCAGAUUUACACAAUCUUGAAGCAGCCAGAUCUCAAACACCUGACACAGGAUGAUUUCAAGCCCGUGCUUCAAGAGCUUUUGGCAACACAUCCUGGGUUAGAGUUCUUACGGAGCACACCUGAAUUUCAAGAGCGAUAUGCUGAAACUGUAAUAUACAGAAUAUUUUUCUACGUGAAUAGAUUGGGUAAUGGUCAACUUACCCUCAGGGAGCUGAAGCGUUCAGACCUAAUUGCUGCAAUGCAACAUGCGGAUGAAGAAGAAGAUAUUAACAAGGUCCUUAGGUACUUCUCUUACGAACACUUCUACGUGAUAUAUUGCAAGUUUUGGGAGCUCGAUACGGAUCAUGAUUUUCUGAUUGAUAAAGAGAACCUCAUUCGAUAUGGCAACCAUGCCCUUACAUACAGGAUUGUUGAUAGAAUAUUUUCUCAGGUUCCAAGGAAGUUUACAAGUAAAGUUGAAGGAAAGAUGGGUUAUGAAGAUUUUGUUUACUUUAUAUUGUCGGAGGAGGAUAAAACAUCAGAGCCUGGUCUUGAAUACUGGUUCAAAUGCAUAGAUUUGGAUGGAAACGGUGUUCUGACUAGGAAUGAAAUGCAAUUUUUUUAUGAGGAGCAGUUGCAUAGAAUGGAAUGCAUGGGCCAAGAACCAGUGCUUUUUGAGGAUAUAUUGUGCCAGAUGGUCGACAUGAUUAGUCCAGAGGAUGAAAGUUAUUUUAUGUUACAUGACUUGAAGGGCAAUAAGUUAUCCGGCAGUGUUUUCAAUAUACUAUUUAACCUCAAUAAGUUCAUGGCAUUUGAAACUCGCGACCCGUUCCUAAUACGUCAGGAGCGUGAGAACCCGAAUUUGACUGAGUGGGACCGCUUUGCACACAGAGAAUAUAUUAGACUCUCAAUGGAGGAAGAUGCAGAGGAUGCCUCCAAUGGAAGUGCAGAUGUCUGGGAUGAAUCACUUGAGGCUCCUUUUUGAGUUCAGUUAGCAAGGUGGAAAGGUGUGGACUAUCCAUUUAUCUACAUCUCCUUCAACCGUUUCCAGGAAGGUGCCAGCAUCGAACUUUACCUCAAGUUAAAUUUUGAGCUGCAAAAGUGAAUUUUGCACAGAAAAGAAUCAAGUGGGACAAGCUGCUCUCAGUGUUCCACCAAGAUGUUCUCUUUGAGAUAGCCACAGAGGAAUUUUUUAUUGGUCUGCACAGAGCAUGCUCUCAAGUUGUUUCUGUCCAUGCUAGUCUGAAAGCUGCCAACAUGAAUUAUCAAGGGCUUGGCAAAUGGACGAUUGGCGAUUGACUGUCAAAUGUACCUUCUGGUAAUUCAGAACUUUCACAUUUGUUCUCUCUUUAAGAAAUCAAUGUUAUUAAUUAUUUGUUGUAGUUCCCAUUUUUAGCGGUUUCAGAUACCUUUUCUCUAGAUGAGAUUUAGUGUAGUGAGUGCCAAUGUGCCAAGUUGUAUGCUUUUCGUUCCCUUUUUGUGGUCUGUGAAUCUUGGUAGUUGUGUAUGAGCUGCAAUGAUAUUCUUCUCUUUCUUUGUCCUGCUACUUGGAUGUUAACCUCAAGGAUUUAUAAUUUUUCUGACAAAUUGCAUUGU